GAAAUGCGAUAAGUAAUGUGAAUUGCAGAAUUCAGUGAAUCAUCGAAUCUUUGAACGCACAUUGCGCCCGCCAGCACUCUGGCGGGCAUGCCUGUCCGAGCGUCAUUUCAACCCUCGAGGCCCCCCGCGGGACUCGGUGUUGGGGGUCCACGGCCCCGUGCCGCCCCCUAAAUGCAGUGGCGACCCGGCCGCCGCGUCCCCUGCGCAGUAGCUCAUCGAGAACCUCGCAACGGGAACGGCGGCCGCGGUCACGCCCGACACGGCGCGCCCCCAGGGCGCCCGAACUCCACUGAGUUGACCUCGGAUCAGGUAGGGAUACCCGCUGAACUUAA
rnacentral:misc_RNA from 1 species